rnacentral:rRNA from 1 species
GGAGGUUGUGCCCUUGAGGCGUGGCUUCCGGAGCUAACGCGUAAGUCGACCGCCUGGGGAGUACGGCCGCAAGGUUAAAACUCAAAUGAAUUGACGGGGGCCCGCACAAGCGGUGGAGCAUGUGGUUUAAUUCGAUGCAACGCGAAGAACCUUACCUACUCUUGACAUCCAGAGAACUUUCCAGAGAUGGAUUGGUGCCUUCGGGAACUCUGAGACAGGUGCUGCAUGGCUGUCGUCAGCUCGUGUUGUGAAAUGUUGGGUUAAGUCCCGCAACGAGCGCAACCCUUAUCCUUUGUUGCCAGCGGUCCGGCCGGGAACUCAAAGGAGACUGCCAGUGAUAAACUGGAGGAAGGUGGGGAUGACGUCAAGUCAUCAUGGCCCUUACGAGUAGGGCUACACACGUGCUACAAUGGCGCAUACAAAGAGAAGCGACCUCGCGAGAGCAAGCGGACCUCAUAAAGUGCGUCGUAGUCCGGAUUGGAGUCUGCAACUCGACUCCAUGAAGUCGGAAUCGCUAGUAAUCGUAGAUCAGAAUGCUACGGUGAAUACGUUCCCGGGCCUUGUACACACCGCCCGUCACACCAUGGGAGCGGGUUGCAAAAGAAGUAGGUAGCUUAACCUUCGGGAGGGCGCUUACCACUUUGUGAUUCAUGACUGGGGUGAAGUCGUAACAAGGUAACC